AUUAGCCCCAAACACGUGGUGCGCGUUCACAGGGAUUCUGGGAAAAAGUCUUCCUGAAAUAAACUCUUCCAUUUGCUCUCAGAUGCCUGGAAUUCUUUACCACCAAAAGGAAAUCCUUUCAUCCAAUGUUUACAGUAAAGGAUUACAAUGCACAUACACUGGGAAAGUUCUCCCUUCGGCAGCACCUACAGCAUAUUCUUGCUUCUGAGCUGAAUAUCUGCGUUCCUGCUAAACCAGAGAUCACAGUUAUCAGAUGCCUCCUCUGGACAUUUCAUAUGAAUGGAUAAAUAUAAUACGAAGUCUUUCGUCACUGCUUUCUUUCACUUAGAAUGUUGUAGCAUGCGUCAGCACUUCCUUCCUCUUUAUCACUGAGUGGUAUUCCAUUGUAUGGAUAGGCCUCACUUGGUUUAUCUACUCAUUAGUGGAUGUAGUUGGAUGGUUUCCAGCUUUAGCUUUUAUGAAUAAAAUUGCUAUGAACAUUCCUGUGUGAGUUUUUGUGCAGACAUAUGUUCUUAUUUCUCUUGGGUAAAUACCUAGGGGUGAAAUUGUUGGAAGAUGUAAUAAUUCUGUGCUCAACAUUUUGAGGAAUUACCAAAUUAUUUUCCAAACUGGCUGCACUAUUUUACAUUCCUACUAGCAAUGCAUGAAGAUUAUAAUUUCUACACAUCUUAGCUUGUAUUUUAGUUAUAAUUUCCAUGUUUCUCUCCCCCAAUAAACUGAAGAUUGA
rnacentral:lncRNA from 10 species